GAUGAACGCUGGCGGCGUGCCUAAUACAUGCAAGUCGAGCGAACAGACGAGGAGCUUGCUCCUCUGACGUUAGCGGCGGACGGGUGAGUAACACGUGGAUAACCUACCUAUAAGACUGGGAUAACUUCGGGAAACCGGAGCUAAUACCGGAUAAUAUAUUGAACCGCAUGGUUCAAUAGUGAAAGACGGUUUUGCUGUCACUUAUAGAUGGAUCCGCGCCGCAUUAGCUAGUUGGUAAGGUAACGGCUUACCAAGGCAACGAGGCGUCGCCGACCUGAGAGGGUGAUCGGCCACACUGGAAAUGAGACACGGUCCAGACUCCUACGGGAGGCAGCAGUAGGGAAUCUUCCGCAAUGGGCGAAAGCCUGACGGAGCAACGCCGCGUGAGUGAUGAAGGUCUUCGGAUCGUAAAACUCUGUUAUUAGGGAAGAACAAAUGUGUAAGUAACUAUGCACGUCUUGACGGUACCUAAUCAGAAAGCCACGGCUAACUACGUG
rnacentral:rRNA from 1 species